GCAUACUUACCCCACGGUCUUCUCCUGACGCCUCUGUAAUGCCUCAGGUCAUCCUCUUGAGCCACUGGUGCAGGAACUGCUAUAGUGGCAAGAGGUGGCUUGCGUUGGCUUAGAGUUGAAGUGGUGCAGUGGUGGAUGGUGGAGACAAAGGUGUCUAAGGAAGGGAAAUCGGUAAGAAGGUGUUGGGUUAUGAGAUUCAAAGCUGAUUGGUCUUGUUCUAGUUGAUGUGAAGAAGCCAUAGAUGAUACUGGAGCCUUUUUCUAUCUGAUUGUUGUUUUGAUUGUGGGUUUUGGUUUUUGAGAUUGGAGGGUUAUAUAAAAAUGGAAAGUGAGAGGUUUUUGAGAUUAGCUUCUUUGGUUGGAGAGAGGAAGGAUCCUUUUCAAUUAUUUUGACUUGUUUUCUACUGUUGUUUUGGAGUGUGGCAAGUGGACUUUAAAUAUUAGUAUAAGUUUAAGACAAGAAAGGAGGGAUUUUGUGGAUUUGUCUCUAUUUCCAGGCUUCUUCAUAUCCGAGACACAUUUUAAAAAUGGUUUUUAUUACAGAAAUUUGAAACAAAAAUUGACACUUUUUAAAAAUUUUAUGGGUACAAGUUUAUGUCUGCUUGCCUGUUUUAGACAAUUUCUCGACGGUGUAGGAUUCUCGUUUUUGGUUCACUGUGGAUUAUAUGAUUAGGUGGUUGGAAUUUCUCUUUUGGCCGCACUGUUUCUAUCUUUUUGAAAAUAAUUGGGUUACUUGAUUUAUGUUUCUUUCACGGCUAAGCGAUGAAGUUUUUCCUUCUGGUUGUUUCCUUUGAUUUGGUGACUUGAAAUAGUUAAGGUAAUCUUGUCAUGUUGUAAGAUGUAAAAAUGUUACGAGUUACGACCUUAGCAUCAAGUACAUCUGGAAGCAGAAGUCUCGUGGAGUGGGUAACAAAGGAAUGUCUUAGGUUUGUUUCAACAUACUGAAUUCUCUGUGUCUACUUUGUAACCUCAUGAAAGUUUUUGUCUAUGGUGAAAUUUAUAGGGUUGAAGAAAAGUACAUAUGUUUGUGGGUGUCUGCACUAUUAUAUUAGACAGCGACCAAAGUCUUGGAGGCAAUCGUUUUGCUUGAAGGGCUCAUUAGUAGGUCUUGUAAGUUCAAACUUCUUCUUUGUGCUCGUUUAAGGAAGGGUAGAAAGAAUUGCAUUUAAGAUGAAUCAAUGAAUAUAGGGAAACAAUUUUUACAAUCAGCUAAUCUAGAAGCUUUCAACACAAUCCAAAGUUGCUAAUGUCACCUAAUGUUGGAAUGUUCCCAGUUUGACUCUCAGAAGCUUACAUAACCACGAGGUGGGAGUGUCCAAGAGAUAGAUAAGGAGAUAAUGGAGGCACGGAGAAUAUCCCCAUCUCUUUACUGUCUGCUCCGUCCCAAAACCCCAUCCAACUUGACGGCGUUAAUGGACAAGCAUCAGUCUGAGCCUGAGCCUGAGCCUGAGCCUGAGUUUCUUCCCUCUUCACAGCUUUAUGGCUGCUUAGGUGGCUUACAUCCUCCGUUACUUGUCUUUUCCUCUUUGCUUUCAAAGACACAGUCUUGUUAUUGUCUCCUAAGUCCUCGUGCUUUCCUGCUUCGAGUGGAAAGUUAAGAAUGGCUUUGCUUCCACGUAGUUUAAAAGCAGCCUUGUCAUAACCCCUUGCAGCUUCCAUGGCUGUGUCAAAAGUCCCUAACCAGACACGAACACCUUUCCUGUUUGGGUCUCUGAUCUCAGCCGCAUACUUGCCCCAAGGUCUUCGCCUCACGCCUCUGUAAUGCCUUUGAUCAUCCUCUUGAGCCACUGGUCCAGUAGUAGGAACUGCUAUAGUGGCAAGAGGUGGCUUGCGUUGGCUUAGAGUUGAGGUGGUGCAGUGGUGGAUGGUGGAGACAAAGGUCUCUAAGGAAGGGAAAUCGGUAAGAAGGUGUUGGGUUAUGAGAUCUAAAGCUGAUUGGUCUUGUUCUUGUUGUUGUUGAUUUGAAGAAGCCAUAGAUGAAUGAUAUAGGAGUCUUCUUCGUGUUUGUGUUUGUGAUU
rnacentral:lncRNA from 1 species